UGGCCAUUCAAUAAGUGCCUUCUGCUUUUGUGAGAUGUAACAGAAAAAAUCCGAAUGAAUUUUUCAGCCAGCCUAAUAGAAAAGGUACUGGAGAAAAGUUGUUGAAUGAUGAAGCCAUCACAAGUGGAAGAAUUCAUAUCCCUUUGGACAGGUCAAGAAGUUGACUCCAAACCCACCACCACCAGCUACUUGUAACAAGAUCUCCUGCAGGCUUCUUGGAGCUCUCACAGUCUCUAAGGAUCAGUUCACCACACAGAGGUCUCUGAAGAUGCAAAGGUGUCCACAGUGCAUCCAGACUUUUCAGGAAGCAGGAAUAAAUAAAAAGUUGCUUGGCUUUUCAAGACAGAAGAAGGAUGGAAGAAGGUAAAAGGACUUUCUCGCAAAGGAAAAAGCGAUCAGGAAGAAAUCAGACAGCACAGACAAGACAGCAGAGGCAGCCUGUUGGACAAGUCUCUCCAAGAAGCCCAUUGAAUGGGGCUGCAUUUAUCUUUCCAAUCUAGGAGAAUGAGAGAUGUGACCUCCCCCCUUCCAAAAUAAUAAUAAUGUAACAAUUAUUUUACCCAAGAAACCAAAAUAAAAUGCUUGUGGUCUUGACUUUUA
ensembl:lncRNA